CACUAUUUCAGUACAAUGAGGGCAGGAUGU
rnacentral:piRNA from 1 species